rnacentral:rRNA from 1 species
UUCGCAAUGCCCGAAAGGGUGACGAAGCGACGCCGCGUGGGUGAGGAAGGCCUUCGGGUUGUAAAGCCCUGUCAGGAGUUAAGAAAUGUAGGUACGCUAAUAUCGUAUCUAUUUGACAAAGGCUCCAAAGGAAGCCACGGCUAACUCUGUGCCAGCAGCCGCGGUAAUACAGAGGUGGCAAGCGUUGUUCGGAAUUAUUGGGCGUAAAGAGCACGUAGGUGGAUUUGUAAGUCAGAUGUGAAAGCCUUCUGUUCAACGGGAGAAUUGCAUCUGAAACUACAAACCUUGAGUAUAGGAGGGGAGAGUGGAACUUCUGGUGGAGCGGUGAAAUGCGUAGAUAUCAGAAGGAACGCCGGCGGCGAAAGCGAUUCUCUGGCCUAUUACUGACACUCAGUGUGCGAAAGCUAGGGGAGCAAACGGGAUUAGAUACCCCGGUAGUCCUAGCCGUAAACGAUGGGCACUAAGUAGAGGGGUUUU